GAGCAAAACCAUAUUCUAACGUGACCCAGCCCGUGCUGAACUAGGGUUUUGAACAUAUCAACCCUAGCCUAGGGUUUGGAAGGAGCUCUAUAUAAACGAUUCAAGGUCGCCUCUCUUCUUCAUCGUCUCAUCUUUGAGCUUCCGGCCUCGAGGUAUUGCGUGGAUUCUUGUGCUUCUUUAGAGAUUGUUGUACCUGAAAUUGUAUAUUGUAGUCUACAGGAAAAAAAGUAAUUGUAUUUAACGUUUGAAAGGAUAGAGCAAUGAAAUUCAAGUGUCGUUUAUUUGAAGGAA